rnacentral:rRNA from 1 species
GACGGACGCUGGCGGCGUGCUUAACACAUGCAAGUCGAGCGGUAAGGCCCUUUCGGGGGUACACGAGCGGCGAACGGGUGAGUAACACGUGGGUGACCUGCCCUCAGCUCUGGGAUAAGCCCGGGAAACUGGGUCUAAUACCGGAUAUGACUUCAUGACGCAUGUUGUGGAGUGGAAAGCCUUGUGCGGCUGAGGAUGGGCCCGCGGCCUAUCAGCUUGUUGGUGGGGUGAGGCCUACCAAGGCGACGACGGGUAGCCGGCCUGAGAGGGCGACCGGCCACACUGGGACUGAGAUACGGCCCAGACUCCUACGGGAGGCAGCAGUGGGGAAUCUUGCGCAAUGGGCGAAAGCCUGACGCAGCGACGCCGCGUGAGGGAUGACGG